rnacentral:lncRNA from 1 species
AUGCGGAGCUGUGCCAGCCCCGGGCCCUGCAGGCUGCCUGCUCCUCCCGAUACGCGCUGCCCGGUAGCCGUGCUUGCUGUGCUGCUGCUCGGUACGGAGCUCUCACACGCUGAACUCUCAGUGCUGGAUAAAAACCGGCAUCAGCCGCUGAGAGCCGCUGCGUCCCCGAGAUCCGAGCUGCGCGCACUGCACCGCGCUGAGCGGGCGCUGCUGCUGCGCUCACUGCGGGGAGCGCCGGGGGAGGCUGCGCUGCAACGGGAGCGCUGUGUGUCUGCAGGGGGGGCUGCUGUGCCGCUCCAUUGCCGCAUCCCUGCCGCUCUCUGCCCCUGCUUGCAGCACAUCCUGCAGCAGAGCGGCCGGGGCUGCGCCGUGCCUGCGCUCACCGUGCUAUCCCCGCCUGCCCACCGUGCAGCCCCGGAGCCGAGAGCUGAGCUGGGCCGGGCACUGAGUGCAGCCAACCGCAGGAGCGUUGGCACAUCACAUACCGAGCAGCUCCGGCUCAGUAAUGAAACGUGGGGAGGUUUUGUUUUUGGAGUCCAUUCGGUCCAUAAGUGCCACCUUUGUGUGCCCAUCCCACGGGCUCCAGGCGGGAGAUGCUGCUGUCCCACAGCCCCCAGCGCUCCAUGCAGACCCCGCUGGGUGCCUGGAUGGGGGCGGCCCCAGUCCUGUCUGUUUCUCAAGAAAGUUCUUGGACUUGGCUUUAAGGCUCUGGCUCACCCAGCUUGGAAGGAGGCCACAGUGCGGUGCUGCACUGCUUCGGCAGCGAGUCCGGGCACUGAGUCUGUGCCAACACUGACCGAAGAGACACUUCUUGUCUGUGCCAUUUACCUGCCCACUGUGCUGUGCAGCUCCUGGGGCUCUGGGCACAGCUGUGUGGGAGGGGGUUUUAACUGCACCCCCAGCCCUGACUUGUGCUCAGAGAUGGGCCCGGGCUUUCCAGGUCCCAGCUCUGCCAUUUGCCUGCCCCUCUUGGCAGCAGCUCGCGCUCUCUUGGCCAACCCUUUGAUUCUUUGCUCUUCACUUCUUUCCUCAGCUCCCACUUCUGUUCCAGUUUCCCACUCCUUUUCAGCCUCUCCAUCUUUUUUUGACCCCUGUUUUUUUUUCCGCCCUCCACUUCUGGGCUAUAAGAUUUUUGUUCCCCACCCCCUCCCUGGCUCCCUGCUCCCCAGCCCCGGCCCCCCACGCCUCAGCGGCCUCAUUUCCACGGAAGAAGCACAAUGCACUCUGAGCUGUAAAUAA